ACAGAGGGUGCAAGCGUUAAUCGGAAUUACUGGGCGUAAAGCGUGCGUAGGCGGUCUUUUAAGUUGGAUGUGAAAUCCCCGGGCUUAACCUGGGAACUGCAUUCAAGACUGGGAGACUGGAGUCUGGGAGAGGAUGGUGGAAUUUCCGGUGUAGCGGUGAAAUGCGUAGAUAUCGGAAGGAACAUCAGUGGCGAAGGCGACCAUCUGGCCUAAGACUGACGCUGAGGCACGAAAGCGUGGGGAGCAAACAGG
rnacentral:misc_RNA from 1 species